rnacentral:tRNA from 1 species
GGGCCCGUAGCUCAGUUGGUUAGAGCGGCUGACUCAUAAUCAGCUGGUCGGUGGAUCGAGGCCACCCGGGCCCACCA